UACCAGCUCUCCGAGUGGUGUGGAUGUUCAUUGGGCCUAAAGCAUCCGUAGCUGGCUGGGCAAGUCCCCUGUUAAAUCCACCGAUUUAAUCGUUGGUGUGCGGGGGAUACUGUUCGGCUAGGGGACGGGAGAGGCCGACGGUAUUUUCGGGGUAGGGGUGAAAUCCUAUAAUCCCGGGAAGACCACCAGUGGCGAAGGCUGUCGGCUAGAACGCGCCCGACGGUGAGGGAUGAAAGCUGGGGGAGCGAACCGGAUUAGAUACCCGGGUAGUCCCAGCUGUAAACGAUGCAGGCUAGGUGUUUGGGCGGCCACGUGCCGCUCUAGUGCCGCAGAGAAGUCGUUAAGCCUGCCGCCUGGGGAGUACGGCCGCAAGGCUGAAACUUAAAGGAAUUGGCGGGGGAGCACCACAAGGGGUGAAGCUUGCGGUUU
rnacentral:rRNA from 1 species